UACGUAGGUGGCAAGCGUUGCCCGGAAUUAUUGGGCGUAAAGGGCGCGUAGGCGGCGUCUUAAGUCAGAUGUGAAAACCCCGGGCUUAACCUGGGAAGUGCAUCUGAAACUGGGAUGCUAGAGUGCAGGAGAGGUAAGUGGAAUUCCUAGUGUAGCGGUGAAAUGCGUAGAUAUUAGGAGGAACACCAGUGGCGAAGGCGACUUACUGGACUGUAACUGACGCUGAGGCGCGAAAGCGUGGGGAGCAAACAGG
rnacentral:rRNA from 1 species